rnacentral:rRNA from 1 species
UUGGAGGGCAAGUCUGGUGCCAGCAGCCGCGGUAAUUCCAGCUCCAAUAGCGUAUAUUAAAGUUGUUGCAGUUAAAAAGCUCGUAGUUGAAUUUCGGAGUUUGUCGGUUGGUCGGGCUUCAUUGCCCGCACUGGCCUGAUGGAUUCCUACCUUCUGAAUAACCAGCAUGCUAUUAAGUUAGUGCGUUGGGGAAGCAGAGCUAUUACCUUGAAAAAAUUAGAGUGCUUAAAGCAGGCUUAUGCUUGAAUAGAUUAGCAUGGAAUAAUAAAAUAGGACGGCAUGGUUCUAUUUUGUUGGUUUCUAGGAUCACCGUAAUGAUUAAUAGGGAUAGUUGGGGGCAUUAGUAUUCAAUUGUCAGAGGUGAAAUUCUUGGAUUUAUUGAAGACUAACUUCUGCGAAAGCAUUUGCCAAGGAUGUUUUCAUUAAUCAAGAACGAAAGUUAGGGGAUCGAAGACGAUCAGAUACCGUCGUAGUCUUAACCAUAAACUAUGCCGACUAGGGAUCGGACGAUGUUAAUUUUUUAAUGACUCGUUCGGCGCCUUACGGGAAAC